CUUUUUGAUAAUAAUUUAAGGUCCAACCUGCCCAAUGAUUUUUAAAUGGCCGCGGUAUUUUGACCGUGCAAAGGUAGCAUAAUCAUUAGUUUUUUAAUUGAAAGCUGGAAUGAAAGGUUAGAUGAGAAAAUAGCUGUCUCUAUUUAAAUUUAAUAGAAUUUUAUUUUUAAGUAAAAAAGCUUAAAUAUUUAUAAAAGACGAGVAGACCCUAUAGAGUUUUAUAAUUUUAUUAUUUAGAGUBNUUAGUAUUAUAAUAUUUAAAAAAUAAAAUUAUUUGGUUGGGGNNAUUGAAAAAUUAAAUAAACUUUUUUUUAUAAAAACAUUUAUUUAUGAAUAUAUGAUCCUUAUUUAAAGAUUAAAAGAAUAAAUUACCUUAGGGAUAACAGCGUAAUUUUUUUUAAGAGUUCUAAUCGAAAAAAAAGAUUGCGASCUCGAUGUUGGAUUAAAAUUAAUUUUUGGUGUAGAAGCUAAA
rnacentral:rRNA from 1 species